CACUGCCAGCAAAAUAACUUAUGGAGUAGUGUUUUCCCUGGAGAGCUCACAUGAGUAACAACAAAAGAAAGUGUUUCCAGGAGAAUUAUCUUGGUUUAUAUUUAGCCUGGAUUGACCUAUUUCAGUGUGCAGUCAUAUGUACACCCUUCUACCUGGCCUCAUCCUCCCUGUGAGCUGCUGACAGUUACCUGGUUAAUGUGUAUUCCCUGAGUCCUGAGUGAAGAUUCAUGGCUGAAAAGGUCCCGAUGCAGCCACGAAGCCGUUUGUCUCGCCCCGUCUUCCACGUCACAAAGAGUGGACUGAAAAGGCAAAAAAUAAAAGAAACCUUCCAGCCUCUAGAGAGAUUUGACUGCUAAGAGGAGAGUGCCAAGGUGUAAAAGAGCACGUGCACAUGCCCUUGCUUUCUCCCCCUCCAGUAAACCCCAAUGGGCAGGUUUACUCACCUGCUACCCAGCAAUAACCAAACCUCGUGCCCACACCCUGCCAAACUCCACCAUCUCCCUCCACCUUUUCAGCAGACUCGCUCCUGUCCAACAGUGCUCUGCAAGUCAUCCAUGGACACCGUCCUGGACAGAUUCUGCACUGAAUCUAAGGAGUGAUAUGCUUGUUUGACCCCACUGAGUACCUGUCAGUAUUGACCUCACUUCAUAGUAUCCACUAAUUUACAGGACAGCCCACAUAAAAAUCAAUAUAGGUGAAGCAAAUAAGAUUAGUAACUUAUAGUACCAGUGAACCUGAAAGAUCCCCAGGCAUUCUUCAAUUCCUCUAUAAAUCAGAUUUGCAAUAAAAGUUUGUAUCCUUUUUUUUU